UACGUAGGGUGCAAGCGUUGUCCGGAAUUAUUGGGCGUAAAGAGCUCGUAGGCGGUUUGUCGCGUCUGCUGUGAAAACUGGGGGCUCAACCCCCAGCCUGCAGUGGGUACGGGCAGACUAGAGUGCGGUAGGGGAGAUUGGAAUUCCUGGUGUAGCGGUGGAAUGCGCAGAUAUCAGGAGGAACACCAAUGGCGAAGGCAGAUCUCUGGGCCGUAACUGACGCUGAGGAGCGAAAGCGUGGGGAGCGAACAGG
rnacentral:rRNA from 1 species